rnacentral:rRNA from 1 species
UGCAGUCGAGCGGACAGAAGGGAGCUUGCUCCCGGAUGUUAGCGGCGGACGGGUGAGUAACACGUGGGUAACCUGCCUGUAAGACUGGGAUAACUCCGGGAAACCGGAGCUAAUACCGGAUAGUUCCUUGAACCGCAUGGUUCAAGGAUGAAAGACGGUUUCGGCUGUCACUUACAGAUGGACCCGCGGCGCAUUAGCUAGUUGGUGGGGUAAUGGCUCACCAAGGCGACGAUGCGUAGCCGACCUGAGAGGGUGAUCGGCCACACUGGGACUGAGACACGGCCCAGACUCCUACGGGAGGCAGCAGUAGGGAAUCUUCCGCAAUGGACGAAAGUCUGACGGAGCAACGCCGCGUGAGUGAUGAAGGUUUUCGGAUCGUAAAGCUCUGUUGUUAGGGAAGAACAAGUGCGAGAGUAACUGCUCGCACCUUGACGGUACCUAACCAGAAAGCCACGGCUAACUACGUGCCAGCAGCCGCGGUAAUACGUAGGUGGCAAGCGUUGUCCGGAAUUAUUGGGCGUAAAGGGCUCGCAGGCGGUUUCUUAAGUCUGAUGUGAAAGCCCCCGGCUCAACCGGGGAGGGUCAUUGGAAACUGGGAAACUUGAGUGCAGAAGAGGAGAGUGGAAUUCCACGUGUAGCGGUGAAAUGCGUAGAGAUGUGGAGGAACACCAGUGGCGAAAGCGACUCUCUGGUCUGUAACUGACGCUGAGGAGCGAAAGCGUGGGGAGCGAACAGGAUUAGAUACCCUGGUAGUCCACGCCGUAACGAUGAGUGCUAAGUGUUAAGGGGGUUUCCGCCCCUUAGUGCUGCAGCUAACGCAUUAAGCACCUCCGCCUGGGGGAGUACGGUCGCAAGACUGAAACUCAAGGAAUUGACGGGGGCCCGCACAAGCGGUGG